rnacentral:rRNA from 1 species
AUUGAACGCUGGCGGCAGGCUUAACACAUGCAAGUCGGGCGGGGUGAUGGUGCUUGCACUAUCACUUAGCGGCGGACGGGUGAGUAAUGCUUAGGAAUCUGCCUAUUAGUGGGGGACAACAUCUCGAAAGGGAUGCUAAUACCGCAUACGUCCUACGGGAGAAAGCAGGGGAUCACUUGUGACCUUGCGCUAAUAGAUGAGCCUAAGUCGGAUUAGCUAGUUGGUGGGGUAAAGGCCUACCAAGGCGACGAUCUGUAGCGGGUCUGAGAGGAUGAUCCGCCAGACUGGGACUGAGACACGGGCCAGACUCCUACGGGAGGCAGCAGUGGGGAAUAUUGGACAAUGGGGGGAACCCUGAUCCAGCCAUGCCGCGUGUGUGAAGAAGGCCUUAUGGUUGUAAAGCACUUUAAGCGAGGAGGAGGCUCUUUUGGUUAAUACCCAAGGUGAGUGGACGUUACUCGCAGAAUAAGCACCGGCUAACUCCGUGCCAGCAGCCGCCGUAA